GUUACAAUUUAACGUUGCGUCGUUUGUUUUCUCUUAUUUUUGAGUGUAAAUUGACAUUGCGAUAAGACGUGUCACGGUACUUGUCUAUCCCAAAUUCAUGUAUUUGGUUUUGGUGUUAUAUUUGUUAUUCUCGUGGGACUUUGUCUGAUGCUUGGUCCGUUUCUGUGUGUGUUAGUUACAUUGUAGUGUUGUGUCGUUGUUCUCCUCUUAUAUUUAUGCGUUUCCCUCAGUUUUAGUUUGUUACCCCGAUUUUGUUUUUUGUCCAUGGAUUUAUGAGUUUGAACAGUGGUAUACUACUGUUGCCUUUAUUU
rnacentral:lncRNA from 1 species